CAGCCGCCGCGGUAAUACGGAGGGUGCAAGCGUUAAUCGGAAUUACUGGGCGUAAAGCGCACGCAGGCGGUCUGUCAAGUCAGAUGUGAAAUCCCCGGGCUUAACCUGGGAACUGCAUUGGUGACUGCAACGCUGGAGUGCGGCAGAGGGGGAUGGAAUUCCGCGUGUAGCAGUGAAAUGCGUAGAUAUGCGGAGGAACACCGAUGGCGAAGGCAGGUCUCUGGGCCGCAACUGACGCUGAGGAGCGAAAGCAUGGGGAGCGAACAGGAUUAGAUACCCCCGUAGUCCCUGUCUCUUAUAC
rnacentral:rRNA from 1 species